rnacentral:rRNA from 1 species
GACAUGGGAUGCAAGCGUUACUCGGAAUUACUGGGCGUAAAGCGUCUGCAGGUGUUUUGCCACGUCUGGCGUCAAAGCACGGAGCCCAACUCCGUGUACGUGCUGGAAACGAGCAGAAUCGAGUUAUGGAGAGGCAACUGGAAUGCUGUGAGUAGGGGUAAAAUCCGUAGAUCCACAGUGGAACGCCAAAAGCGAAGGCAGGUUGCUGGCCAUAUACUGACACUCAGAGACGAAAGCGUGGGGAGCAAAGG